AAUAGAUACCCGUGGUAGUCCACGCCGUAAACGAUGAGUGCUAAGUGUUAGAGGGUUUCCGCCCUUUAGUGCUGCAGCUAACGCAUUAAGCACUCCGCCUGGGGAGUACGGCCGCAAGGCUGAAACUCAAAGGAAUUGACGGGGGCCCGCACAAGCGGUGGAGCAUGUGGUUUAAUUCGAAGCAACGCGAAGAACCUUACCAGGUCUUGACAUCCUCUGCCAACCCUAGAGAUAGGGCGUUCCCCUUCGGGGGACAGAGUGACAGGUGGUGCAUGGUUGUCGUCAGCUCGUGUCGUGAGAUGUUGGGUUAAGUCCCGCAACGAGCGCAACCCUUGAUCUUAGUUGCCAGCAUUCAGUUGGGCACUCUAAGGUGACUGCCGGUGACAAACCGGAGGAAGGUGGGGAUGACGUCAAAUCAUCAUGCCCCUUAUGACCUGGGCUACACACGUGCUACAAUGGAUGGUACAAAGAGUAGCGAACCCGCGAGGGUAAGCCAAUCUCAUAAAGCCAUUCUCAGUUCGGA
rnacentral:rRNA from 1 species